rnacentral:lncRNA from 1 species
GUAGAGUCCCGAGAGGGUCACUCCUGACAUGAACUUCGGCUGGGGAGAAUUUUAUACCCAACACCAGUCCCCCUACUUCUGAGUUCGAGUUUCGAAUGAAGAAAGUAAAGAAAAAUUUUCACAGCCGAAGUUGCUCCCUUGAAUUCUGCGCGCGAUCGCUCUCAGAUAUUCUGACAUUUAAUGCACGCGUGCUGGAGUCUUUUCAAAUCAGGAC